AUGUCUCCUAGUGCGUCAGACGGUUCUCUACUAUGUUGGAAUUGCUAUGAGAAGACCUAUAGGAAGAAAGCUAUCUUCAAGUUCCAUAUUACUCAUAGCACCAAAAAUUGUUUCAUUCUCGUAGUUCCAUAUGCCAUAGACAGUCUUAACAAUAGCCAGCUUGAGCAAGGAGGCUUUCUACCCUUUAACCUUCCCAUGCGCAAUAGUUCAGCGAAGCUCAAUAUCCCAACUUUUUGGAACAUGGGACUGAUGAAUCUAGGCCAGAAUAUUACUCCAGAUAUGAUUAAGCUUAUGACAAUCAAACAACAAAUUCAUAAUAGAUUCCUCUUUGCUGCAGAAGGCACAAUCCUUAUUAGCAACCAUCCCAAAUUUGAACAAUCUACAUCUAGUAGCUAG